rnacentral:rRNA from 1 species
GAACGGGUGAGUAACACGUGGGCAAUCUGCCCUGCACUCUGGGACAAGCCCUGGAAACGGGGUCUAAUACCGGAUACUCACUGCCUUGGGCAUCCAAGGUGGUGGAAAGCUCCGGCGGUGCAGGAUGAGCCCGCGGCCUAUCAGCUAGUUGGUGAGGUAAUGGCUCACCAAGGCGACGACGGGUAGCCGGCCUGAGAGGGCGACCGGCCACACUGGGACUGAGACACGGCCCAGACUCCUACGGGAGGCAGCAGUGGGGAAUAUUGCACAAUGGGCGAAAGCCUGAUGCAGCGACGCCGCGUGAGGGAUGACGGCCUUCGGGUUGUAAACCUCUUUCAGCAGGGAAGAAGCGAGAGUGACGGUACCUGCAGAAGAAGCGCCGGCUAACUACGUGCCAGCAGCCGCGGUAAUACGUAGGGCGCAAGCGUUGUCCGGAAUUAUUGGGCGUAAAGAGCUCGUAGGCGGCUUGUCACGUCGGUUGUGAAAGCCCGGGGCUUAACCCCGGGUCUGCAGUCGAUACGGGCAGGCUAGAGUUCGGUAGGGGAGAUCGGAAUUCCUGGUGUAGCGGUGAAAUGCGCAGAUAUCAGGAGGAACACCGGUGGCGAAGGCGGAUCUCUGGGCCGAUACUGACGCUGAGGAGCGAAAGCGUGGGGAGCGAACAGGAUUAGAUACCCUGGUAGUCCACGCCGUAAACGGUGGGCACUAGGUGUGGGCAACAUUCCACGUUGUCCGUGCCGCAGCUAA